GCCGGACAGGACUGAGAGGGCCUGGAGAGAAGAGAAAGACAGGCCUGAAGCUGCUCCACAUGAGCAGCCAACUCCAUCCCUGCCCAGACAAUGAGAUGAUUGGGCUGAAUCUUUGGAAUAACAUUCACCUGGAAAGAAGACAGGAAUUCUCAUUUAUCAUCAGGAGAUGAUCACUAGGCCUUUAGGCAUGGACACCUAGAAACGUCACUCCGAUUAGGUUCUUCCCCUUCGACGGGCUUUCUUUCCUUUUGAGGCCACCAGUCAGAUGCCCAUGGGAUGCAGCCAUCUGGGUCCUAUAUAAGAAGAC